GCUCUUAUAGUUGAAGUACAACGAUGGUUUUUCAAAUCGUUGGUCUUGGUUAGAGUCCAGGUAGGAGUA
rnacentral:tRNA from 1 species